rnacentral:lncRNA from 1 species
GGUCCCAGAACAGUCAAUUUGGAGUUUGUUGUCUCAAAACCCAGUUUUUCCCUGGACUUCAGCCAGCCUGAAAACUCUCUGUAGUGAGCUCUACCGAGAUCACGCUGUUUUUGUGUGAUGCGCCUGUCCAUGCCCCCUUCAGCACAAGCCACGCCCCUCCCCGUUUCUCUUGAAGAGGGGGGUGUGGCUUGCGCUACAGUACUAUGUGUUAAUAUUUACACAGAGUGCUAGGUAUGGCUUGUCGAGGUGCUGUGGUCCAGCCAUACCAGUUUGAUCCAGAGUUUGACCAAGAAGUAGAGGCUCCCGAAGAAAUUCCAACUCUGCGACUGCAGCAGGACGUUUCUGAAUGGUUAGUCACAAAUACUAUGUGUCUCCAUAUUUUUCUUUUUACUUUGUUCAUGUGUUGGAACACAGUGACUCAUGUGUAGCAAGGUAACAUUAGCUCUUGUUAACAAUAACAUCUCCGCUGUCUUCUCGUUACUUAGAGCUCUUUUGGUGAAUGCGCAAUAUUGUAAGUAUAGUUAUCUCUCAUGACUGCACAAAAUAGUAAAAAUUACAGCUCCCACAUUAGUUGGGUCGAAGACAGUGGGUACCGAUCCAGGCUUUAGGUUCAGAUUCUUAGCGAAUCCUGCUUUGUACUGGCCCUCGUUGAGAAAGCAGUCUGAAGCGAGGCGGUAGACACACACAUACAAUAUUUUAGGAGUUGUUGUGGGUACAUUUCCCAGUUAUCGCCGUCUAUGACGUCAUUGAUGGUGAUAGUUUCAGUCUGCCCAUUUGAGCAGACAUUUUCUGAAAGGUGAAACAAGCAAGAGAGGGAAAGGAUAGAAUUUUCUCAUUUAAGGGGAUUUUUAGACAGGCUGAGGAUUAAUAUUAUUGUUAGAAAACCAUUCUUAAGUGAAUUUUGCAUAAUAUGGGACCUUUAAAGAUGGGAUGCUUUCUUGCCAAUCUCUCCUGUCACUGUGGCAACGGUGGCCCUCGAGGACCAAAAGAGAUGAGAUAGCUUCCUCUGUGGUGAUGUUUUUAGUUUAGUUGAGUUUAUAGCCUAGUUGGAAGACACUGAUUUGAAGUGUGUCAUUGUUUUAGUAACAGAAGCUGAUAUGAGAAAAGUAAUGCUAACAGUGAGUGGAGUUUCUGUCAGAGUAAAAAAAUGAAAUGGUUAGGUAUUAUUAGGACAUCUCCUCAGAGCCGACUCUGAUCAUUAUCAGGAUCUCUGACAGCAGCUGUAACUGCGAUCCUAUCUAAGUCAUCAGAAAUGAAAUGAUUUGGUUUUUACAGUCAAUAUUUACAUAUUUAAACACACCUCUGCAUAAUACAUUUCAGUGCCGUGAAGUUCUACACAAUGUAUAUUGAAGAUAGAUUGAAAAUAGCCAACCAGGAAACAGCUCCUUUGGAAACUCCAACCCCAAGCUGACCAACUGACCAAUAACCUGCAAUAAGGUUGAUUUCAGAAAACUGCUGCACUGUGGGGAUGGGCCGUAACUUCAGAAUAUUACAAUGUUGGUGUUGUGUUGUUUAUGCGAUUGUACAUCUAUCUUCUCAGUUGUUUCUAUGAGAGCCUGGUUGUCAUGCACAACCAGCAGACUGCAGCUGUAUAACGUCUUAAAGCUGUUCGUCAGCUGCUAUUAAAUAAGAAAAGAAAAUAGCCAGUAGCCUUUAAAAUAAAGACACAGUGAAGUUUGAUGCUCUAUAUGAAUUCUUCAGUAUUUCAAGUCAUUUUUCCAGAGGGUUUAAACUUCUCUGUUGAACUUCUUAUCUUCAGUCCCUCAGCCCAUAGUAAUAACAGCUCUGUCCAAACACUCAGGGUGAUUCUCAAAGUCAAGGACAGAUCCUCAGAGGACCCAGUUUUCUGGAUUUUGUUGUUUGGGUAGAUCUGCCGAUGUGCUCUCGUGGAUUUCUGAGUUGUCAAACUUUUUGUCCAGUUUUUCCUCUUUUUCUAUAGGCUCCCACUUACUCACACAGCAGCCACAUUUUGAUGGCACUCUUCCUAAUUCAUAUAGAGUGCAAUAUUACAUAACUCCCUGCAUAGCUGAGCCCAGUUUCAACAUUUGCAGAGGUCUAAUGAGCCUUCUUUUUAAACAGCACUGUUGGUGUGGAGGACCUUUAAAACUUGUUCAUUCAGGCUGUAUUCACUGUGUUAGCAGUCAUCUGUAUUUUAUUUGUGUUAAGGUGUUUUCACAGACUUUCCCAUUAUGUUAUUACUGAAUUUGGGCGUUCUGACAGCAGUUCUUGGUUAUUAUUUAAGAGCAAAUGUCAUUUACAGCUGACAGAUCAGGAGCAAACUCUGUCUCUCCCGUCUCUCCCUCUUUUAACCUUUCAUUAAUUAUUUGGGAUCUUAGUUGAUCAGGCCUUUAUUGUCUUGUAUCAAUAUCCCAGAGUGUGUACUGAAACAUGCCUUGAGACUUUUAGUGGUCUUGGUCCUUAGAUGUGUUACUGAUGAAUGUUUGUAUCACUGUAACCAAGGGCUUAAUUUUCGUGCCUGCCAGCGGCGAGGCACAGGGUGGCGCAACCCAUGCAGUGCAGCUCGGCGCAAAGACAGUUUGGUAUUUUCGUAGACCAAGAUGGGAGUGGCCAUGCAGUAGGGGGCGAUGUCAACAGAAUCAACUUGUGCAGUGAGGCGCACCCAGUGCAGUGGUAUUUUAGUGCAGUGCAGCCCAGCGCACAGUUUGAUAUUUCCGUAGACCAAGCUGGGCAUGGCGGCACUAAAAUACCACUGUGCUGGGUGCGCCUCACUGGUGUCAGACAGAAUCAACUGGUGCAGGGAUAUUUUCGUGCCUGCCAGCGGUGUAGAGAGUGCGCUGAAGCUCACCGAUUCAAACCUGGUCAGCCUUCAGCGCAGAUGGAGCGCAGCUGGUCUAGUGGUAUUUUGGUAGACUGGCAGCAUAGUGUGCAUAAAUCACGGAUGCCUCACAGGCAGGUUUCCACAGUGUCAGGCACAUUUCAGUGCACUUUUCCCUGCAACUACCUGAGUCAGCACAUACAUUUAGAUCUAUAUUGAUAAAUUGAUCUUAUCUGAUGAGCCCGUUUGGCAUGUGUAUGGACACUCAGCCUGACUGGAUUAACACCGCUGAAACAACAUUAGUUAAGUAUCCAAUAAUGAGAAAUACUUCCUGGUUAUGGAUUUAUCAGUAACACAGAACAUUUCAUUGGUCAAUCCCUGAUCCAUGUGGACCCCAACAGGACUUUUAACUGCUAACUCUGUCUAAAGGUAACAGCACAGCAUAAAGGAACAUAGUUCACUUUAUUAAACACGAGUAAACCUGCAAAGAGCGAAACUGUAAAAUCACAUUGCUUUUUCACAUACAGUAGAAGUUCAACAGUCACUGAAUUAUAUCCAAAUUAGCAGGAAAUAAACCACACAAAGGUAAAACAACCUGUUGUGAGCAUGUCUUCCCUUAUACUGAGCCCAGCUGACUGGGGCUGCACUACACAUCCUGUGUGCAAUAGACAACGCUGCUCAACAUAGCAGAGACGCAACGCUGACAACACAUGCUCAACAUGGAUCCCCCCCCCCCCCGCCACCGGCGAGGUGUGAAAGUAGAGCCCCAAAUGUUUAAACUCA